rnacentral:rRNA from 1 species
UACGGAGGGGGCUAGCGUUGCUCGGAAUUACUGGGCGUAAAGGGCGCGUAGGCGGGAUGGCAAGUCGGUCGUGAAAUCCCUCGGCUCAACUGAGGAUCGUCGAUCGAUACUGCCGUUCUUGAGGAUUGCAGAGGAGACUGGAAUUCCCGGUGUAGCGGUGAAAUGCGUAGAUAUCAGGAGGAACACCGGUGGCGAAGGCGCACAUCUGGCCCGAUACUGACGCUGAGGCGCGAAAGCUAGGGGAGCAAACGGG